GACGAACGCUGGCGGCGUGCUUAACACAUGCAAGUCGAACGGUGAAGCUCCAGCUUGCUGGAGUGGAUCAGUGGCGAACGGGUGAGUAACACGUGAGCAACCUGCCCCUGACUCUGGAAUAAGCGCUGGAAACGGCGUCUAAUACUGGAUACGAGAAGGGUCCGCAUGGGCACUUUCUGGAAAGUUUUUCGGUUGGGGAUGGGCUCGCGGCCUAUCAGCUUGUUGGUGAGGUAAUGGCUCACCAAGGCGACGACGGGUAGCCGGCCUGAGAGGGCGACCGGCCAAACUGGGACUGAGAAACGGCCCAGACUCCUACGGGAGGCAGCAGUGGGGAAUAUUGCACAAUGGGCGAAAGCCUGAUGCAGCGACGCCGCGUGAGGGAUGACGGCCUUCGGGUUGUAAACCUCUUUCAGCAGGGAAGAAGCGAAAGUGACGGUACCUGCAGAAGAAGCACCGGCUAACUACGUG
rnacentral:rRNA from 1 species